rnacentral:sRNA from 1 species
AUGGAUUCUCGGGAUGAAAUGAUUGCAAAGGAGGCACAUGGCAAAAGAGAAGAACCAGUGGAGGUCCUUGAGCAGUGUAAGAUGGUGACUCUCCUUCAGAAUGAUGGGACUUCAUUGGAAAAGGUCACUGAUGUCCGGUUAAAUCCCUUAGUAAGUCCCAAUCUUUGUUCCAAUCUAGUUACAUCUCAACCCCAUCGUUGGGGCCCAGACUGCUAUCCUUUGGACUCUCCCAUACACUAGAAUGUUGGCCCGUCUUAUACCAGACCCACUAUCACAAAAAUAUCUACCUCUCAACCUCCAAACUAAAUUAGCCCACAUCCUCGUCCGUUGCUAGGAAAUAAAAGAAAGGCAAGGCACCUAAGCCCCUCAGAAUCCCUAAAUACCUCGCUCAAAAAAUCAAAACACAAUGUCACCCACACCUCACCCAAGCUCACUCACACUCCUUCCCAUCCUUUACCAAAGCAUUCUAGUCCUCACAGGAGAAAAUCACUCAAAGUGCUAGCUAGAGUAAAGGCAGUCUCGUACUCAAAAAUUAAAAAAUGGUAAGGAUGAUUCCUUUAUAUCUCUCUACACUUCUUCUACAUCUUCCUCAAAUGUAUCUGCUAUGGCCGAGGAGGCGGGCUUUACCAUGCCCCCCUCCUCGCCAUGAGGACCAUUGCAUGGAAUUUUCGGGGUGUUGGCAGAGCUCCGAUAGUUAGAGCUCUUAAGGAGCUAAUCUGAGAGUCUAAUCCGGACAUAGUUUUCCUCUCGGAAACAAAAAUAAAUUCUCCAAAGAUAAAUAAGUUAUGCAAUAGAUUAAUAUUUGCUGACUCGUGGUGUGUUAAUUCUAAUGGAAAAUCUGGUGGUCUUGCACUUUUUUGGAGACUUGGUGUUGAAAUAGAAGUAGUAUUUUCCAAUAGGAAUAUGAUAGUGGCUCUAGUUUAUUCGGAUCCUCUUGAAGCACCUUGGCUUUUUUUGCUAUCUACUAUCCUUUUCAAAGGUCCAAAAGGAAAAAAUUCUGGGAGUUGCUAGAGAACAUGGUUUCUUCAUUUUCAGGGCCUUGGGCAGUGAUUGGAGAUCUCAACUGUAUCAAGAGGGUGAAAGAGAAAUGUGGUGGUCGGUUAGUGGCAGAAAGCUCAGUGAAUUGUCUCAGAGAUUUUAUGAUGAAUACGGGUGCUAUUGAUCUUGGUUUUAUUGGUCUUUCAUUCACAUGGUCUAAUAGAAGGGAAGGUUUGGCCAAUAUAAAAGAAAUAUUGGACCAAUGUUUGUGUGAUCAAGAGUGGCAGACAUUAUUCCCCAAGGCUAGGGUCAGACACCUGUGCAACUCCAACUCGGAUCAUAAUCCGAUAAUGCUUGAUACUCAUUUAGAUUCUGGGAAGUGGCCUCAUCCAUUUCAUUUUGAAGCUAUGUGGACCAAGGAGGAGGGUAGUAGACGGGCGAUGGAAGGUGCAUGGCAAACUCGGGUGGAGGGCUCUCAUGGCUUCAAACGAGCUAAAAAGCUGUCAAUGACUUGUCGUAAUCUCUUGCGAUGGAAUAAGGAAAAGUUUGGAAACACAAAGGAAAAAAUCAAAGAUCUUCAAAAUAAAAUUUCUUUGAUUCAACAAACGGUUCCUUCGAGAGAGAAUUUGAACACCGAGGCUUCUCUAAACUUAGAACUUGAUGACUGGCUAACAAGAGAAAACCUACGGUUACAACAGAUUUCUAGAGAACUGUGGGUUAAAGAGGGGGAUCGUAAUUCUAGAUUUUUCCAUCUCUCAACCAUCAUCAGAAGGCGUAGGAAUUGCAUUUCAGAGAUAAAGUUGGAUGAUGGGUUGUGGACUAGAGAUCGGGAGGGUAUCCAAAGAUAUUUUUUGGAAAACUUCUCCACUCUGUACAAUUCUUGUCAUCCCCAGUUCCCUGUGAAUCUUGAGAAUCUCAUUCAGCAGUGUGUUUCUGAUCAAGAAAAUCUGGGGUUGUGUAAAGUUCCCUCUAGAGAUAAGAUUAAAAAAGUGGUGUUCAGGAUGAAAGCCCUUAAAGCUCCAGGUCCAGAUGGCUUUCCAGCUCUUUUUUAUAAGCAUUACUAGGACAUUGUGGGUGACUAGCUAGUUUUUGCUGUCCAGAGUUUCUUUCUUAAUGGCUGGCUUCUGAAAGAUUUCAAUAAAACAUUCAUCUCCCUUAUUCCAAAAAAGAAAGGUGCACAUAAUUUUAAUCAUUUUCAUCCUAUCGGUCUAUGUAAUGUGAGUUAUAAGGUGAUAUCGAAAAUCAUUGUCUAGACUAAGACCUCUUUUAGAUAAAAUGGUGGAUCCAACCUAAGUGGCCUUUGUCCCGAAUAGAUGGAUUAAUGAAAAUAUGGUUCUGGCUCAUGAGAUUGUGCAAAGUUUCAAACACACAGGGAAGAAGAAUGGUUUUCUUGGAAUCAAACUAGACUUUCAAAAAGCUUAUGAUAGAAUGGAGUUUUCUAUUGGAGGUUCUUAGAGCUUUUGGUUUUAACAGCACUUUUGUUAACCUCAUUCAUCAAUGUCUAUCUUCAGUUGAAUUUUCUCUUCUAUUAAAUGGGGGUCAAUGUCCAAGUUUCUCCCCCUCUCGGGGCCUUAGGCAAGGUGACCCAAUAUCACCUUAUCUGUUUAUUUUGGGCAGUGAAGUUCUUCUGAGGCUUAUAAACAGGGAAGUUGAUAAAAAAAGGCUAUCUGGUGUUAAAGUGUCCAAUAUUGCUCCUCCCAUUUCUAAGCUGUGUUAUGCUGAUGACAUCAUAUUAUUUUGCAAGGAAAAAUCUUUUGAGCUAGCCACCCUCAAAGUUUGCUUGGAGAAGUAUUGUUCUUGGUCAGGUCAGUCCAUUAACAUAGAAAAAUCUGGUUGUUUCCCCUCUAAAGGGGUGAGCUCUCAAUUUAUCAAUCAAGUGAGAUGUAGUCGGGGUCUGAACAUUCUGUCAAAUAACACCACCUACCUUGGUGUUCCUCUCUUUCUGUCUAGAAGCAGGAAUCAAGAUUUCAAAUACAUUAAAUAAAGGUUGGAUUGCAAGCUAAGUGGAUGGAAAAGCAAAAAUUUGUCUUGGUCUGGGAGAGCAACUCUAAUCAAAUCGGUAGCUCAAGCCAUUCUAGUCUAUUCUAUGUCUGCCAUCCAGUUUCCUAAAGGUCUUUUUGAGCAACUUGACGCGUCAACUCGUAGAUUUUGGUGGAAUCCUAAAUCUAAGUCUGGUUCAUGCUGGACUCCAGUGUCUUGGUCUACUCUUUGUUGGCCCCGAAAGGAGGGAGGCUUGGGUCUUCAACCAAGCUCUCCUCUCCAAAUUUGGCCGGUGGAUUUUAAUAGGAAAAGAUUGUCUUUGUGUUAAAGUGCUAAGGGCGAAAUACAAGAUCCGUAAUAAUUGGUUGACUUAUUCCUACCAUCGCCAUGCUUCCCCAUUUUGGAAAAUUUUGUUAGGUAUUAAGCACAUCAUCGCCAAGGCUGCUUGUAUUGUUUUGGGCAAUGGGGAUUCUAUUAGAAUAUGGUCGGAUCCUUGGAUCCCCGAUCUUCCAGGUUACAUUCCUUCCCCUAAGGUUGAUGCUAAUCCAAACUUGGCCUUGGUUGUGUCUCAGUUCUUUUCCUCGGAUCACAGUAGAUGGGAUAUUCACAAGCUGAACUAUUUCUUCGAUGAGACAGUGGUUGAUCUCAUUAUGAAAAUCCCCAUCCCAAAUAACCAAUCUGAGGAUAGUUGGUCGUGGACUGUAACAAAUUCGGGGUCUUUUUCAGCCAAGUCCGCUUAUUGGCUGUGCAGGGCAGCCUUGUCCCCCUCGAACAUUGAUGCUACUAGAGGUCAAAUAUGGAAAUCCAAGCUUCAUGAGCGCCUUAAGAUGCAUUUAUGUAGAAUCGCUACUAAUGUGCUGCCUUCUAAAGAGGUAAUCAGUAAAUUUAUUGAGAAUAUUGAUAAAUGUUGUCCAUUGUGCGGUUUGGAUGAUGAGUCUUCCCUUCACCUCUUUACGGUUUGUGCUAUUGCUAAAGCUGUAUGGUUUCAAAGUCAGUGGGGAUUAAGGAUAGAAGCAAUUGGAUUUCAGUCCACUUCGGACUUUAUUGGUUUUCUCAUUUCUCCUCCGUUUGUGGACAAGCUGAAUCCUUGUCAAAGAGAAGACUUUUUGCUGUUUGGUGCAAUCCUCUAUGAUGUAAUAUGGAAGCUUAGAAACAGAUCCCUGUUUGAUAUUGCUGAGCUUAAUUUGGAUGGAGUUGUUACAAGGAUUUCAAGUCUAUUUACUGAACAUAAAAACUCCAGAGCCUACUCUACUAGUCAUUUGGCUUCGGCCUCUCCUCAGGUUUGGUUUCCUCCCUCAAGGCGGGACAUAAAAAUAAAUGUAGAUGCAGUAGUGGGUCCUCGCUUUUUUGCCAUCGUUGUAGUUGUGAGAAAUUGGAGAGGGGAGUUGGUGUUUGUUGGCUCCAACAAAGUGAACACCACCCUCCCUCUUCAAGCUGAAGCAAAAGUAGUUAGAUGAGCGAUCUCUUUUGCCCCUGCUCUGGAUGGUGAUUCUAUUCAUGUGGAGUCUGACUUUCAAGUUGUUGUCCAGCUUCUUUCAAAUUUGACAUUACCUCCUCUUUGGCGAAUCAGGUCGCUUUGUGGUGAUUUGAGGUCGUUGCUUGCUCUCCAUGGUAAUGUGUUGGUGUUGUGGGUUCCUAGGCUGUGUAAUCAUGCUGCCCACAACUUAGCAAAAUGGAGUUUAUCUUGUAAUUUUUUUGGCUCUUUUGGCUGUGGUUCUUGCCCAGAUUGUCUCUCUUCUAUUGUUGUGAGAGAGUCCAGUAGGGUGUUGUAGUUUGUUUCUUUGUUUUUAAUAAAGUGUUUGGUUCAUAUAAAAGAAACAAGAAGUUAAGGACACAGGGGGGAUUCUAUAGAACCUAUUUUUUACCGGCUAUAAAACAUAGCUCCACCCCUGGUUGUCAUUAAUUAUUUGGAAACAAGGAUAACAGAAGAUUUUUUUGGCCAUUUAUGAAUAGAUUUUUCUUUUUUCCUUUUUUUUUUGAUCUAUCACAGCCAUUUAUGAAUAGUUGAAGGGGGAAGGGGGUGCUAAAUGCAACCUUCUUAAAGUUUAAGGAUGUUAGUCCAUUUUAUCCCCAAAAAAAAUUAUUGGAAUUUUUUUUGUAUAAAAAAGAAUAAUAAUAUGGGGUCAAUUCAAGAAAUCCCAUAAUUCUGUAAGUUUUCUAUUCAACUUAGUGUUGAUUUCAAGCAACCUUGUUAAAAAUCUUAUACUUCAAUUUGUAAGAUAAAUCUAGAGUUGCGGAAUAAAAUAUACAUACUUCCUCAUAGUUGUGUAAGUGUUUGGAGAGGAAAAAAAUCACUAUAUGAUAGUGUAUAUAAAAGGGUCUUCUAGUUUAUGGCCUUUAUCUCUUAUAUAUAUAUAUAUAUAUAUAUCCAUUUGAUGGAGACACAAGCUAUAUAUAUAGGCCAAAUUAAGGACCCUUUUAGAUUAAGAUUUGUUUCAUUACUAUUCUUCCAUCAAAGAGUUUAAAACUUGUAUUUUCAAGGUGUUUAUUAACCAAAGGUGUUUACCUAGAAAUUGUUAUUCACUAUAACGUCUUUUACAAAUAAAAUUCUUAUGACAUGAGUUUUCAUUUAUCACUUAAAUGUGGGCCACAAACUCUUCUCAAAAUCUUAUGUUCUCCCACUUGGCCCACAUGACAUUUAAAUAACUUGAUAAGUGAUAUGCAUUUAAUAUGGCUAUGAUAUAACUCAUGUCAACUAGUUGUGAAAUACUCUCACUCAAAUAAAAAUUCCAAUACAUGAAAAAUGGCGGCAAUACCCUUAAUUAUAAUGAGUACUUCCUUCUAUGUAUUAUAAUAUAUGGUAGUCCUUAUAUGAGUACUUUAUGAACCAUUAAUUCUUUAUAAAUAGACUCCUAUUAGCCAUUCGGGUCCUCCUUUAUACAUCCCCACAAAUAUAUCAUCCUUAUAUAUUAUAUCCACAAAUAUAAUUAACUUAAUAAAUAUACUUUAUGUGCACAAAAUAAAAAUCAUACAUUUUCUUCUCCAAAAAUAACCAAAUAUGUGUCCAAAACAUAAAAAAACAAGAGAAAUAUAUAAUUAAACACCAAAUGAGCUAACAAGUACCAUAUGUCCAAAAGACUUUUAUACUGCAAACAUUUAGUUAUGAAGCUAGUACAUCUACAACUUCCAAGUAUACAAAAGUAAGACACUUUCUCUCUCCUACGGCUUGUAGGAGAGAGAGUUUUUCUUCUUUCUCCCUCAGUAGGAGUUCUCUUCCCUUUCCCUCAGUAGGAGUUUUUGUUUUCUCUUGCCUUAAUACAAGAAGGUUGAUAAAACCCACUCAGCAACAUGGAUCUAAUAAUCAUUGAGGGAUUUCAUCAUUUUCAACUUACUACAAAAGAGGAAAAUGAUAUCUCCAUCGCAACCACAAGAUCGGAUCUCUUAGAGGUGUGCGCACGAGCCUUCAAGUCCAUUCAAAGAACUGCUUGGAAGGUGGUUUCGGAUCUAAGGUUUGUAGAUAUGGAAAUAAAGGUCUUCUAGUUAAUGUUCAGUUCUUGGUUUCUUAUGGAGUGGCUUCCUUUCUUUUGCUUUAUUUGUGGUGUUUUGGGUCUUGGUGUGGCCGAAUGUCUCUGGCAUUUUGGGGGUUGGACCAGAAAAAGCAAUGGAUUUAAGGGGGUUUUUGAGAAACAUUGUGCUGUUAGCAGAGGUGGAUCGGAGGAGGAAAUAAUGGAGGAGAUCACAAAUGUUCAGCACACUCCGGUGGCUGCUAGUCAAGCGUGGCUAGGUAUGUUGCAAGCGUGGCAUUCUAUGGUGUUGUCAAAUCACACUAGCUCCAAUGUUGUGCUGUCAAAGAGCCAGAGCAAUGAUACUCUGGUAUGCCUUUUGAGCCUAGCACCCUCUUCUGUUGUGCUUUCAUGUGUUUCCCAAUGGUCCUCAUUGAAGGGUAAGGAAGUGGUUGACAAAGCCUUAGAUUUGGGCUUUCCUUUGUCUUUCUCUGAGGCCCAAAUAUCACCCAGACCGGAACCCACAAGUAUUCCCUCUCCUUUUAAUGAGCCCAUCAAUACCCCUUUAUGCCCAAAGAGUGGGCAUUUAAAUGAGGUUGCUAGAGCCCAAGAAAAGAAAUCCCAAAAUUUUAAUAUGCAAACACAGGUUAAUUGCUGAGCUUUCGGGUUCGUUGAGGAGAGGGAUGUGUAGUUGUUUGUUGUUUUUCUCCCAGUUGUUAUCUACUUUCUCUGUUGUAUCUCUUUCCAGAUGAAUGAAAUGUUUAUGCAUUUCUCAUCAAAAAAAAAAAAAAAAAAAUCCAAGUAUAUAAAGCAGUUUAACACAUAGUAACGUGAGUGAGAUAGGAAAAGAGUAGUAGUGCAAGCGAGAUCAUUGAGGUCAACAAUCAUGGACUGGUACAUACGGAAAUGAUCAAAUAAGAGUUUGAGGUAAGUAGUUUGUAUUCGUUGGAUCUUAACUUGGAAGAUAGAAUGUAUGUGGGUAUAGGGAAGAGUGUGUUAAGCAUGGAAGUGCUAGCUUGUACGUUAAAAAUUUUUGUCGAAGCCAUUUUUGAAUAUUUCAAGUCCAUUUGGGAAGAGUUUAUUUAGUUGAAAUUGAAAACUUUUUGCUAAAGAGUUUAUUUGGGAAGAGUUUAUUUCAAGAUCAUUGAGGUCAACAAUGAUGGACUGGUACAUACGGAAAUGAUCAAAUAAGAGUUUGAGGUAAGUAGUAUGUAUUCGUUGGAUCUUAACUUGGAAGAUAGAAUGUGUGUGGGUAUAGGGAAGAGUGUGUUAAGCAUGGAAGCGCUAGCUUGUACGUUAAAAAUUUUUGUCGAAGUCAUUUUUGAAUAUUUCAAGUCCAUUUAGGAAGAGUUUAUUUAGUUGAAAUUGAAAACUUUUUGCUGAAUGUACUAUAAAUGAGAUCCAUGAAAUAGUAGCAAAAAUAAGUUGAAUAGUAGAAAAAAAUAAGUUAAAUAGUAAAAAAUAAAAAUAAAAAAGCUUUUUAAGCCAAUACCAAAUGCAACAUUUGCGUAUGAAAUUGGUUAAAAUAUUAAUUGAUGGGGAAAGAGGCGUUAGUCCAUUUCACCCCCAAAAAAAGAUAGAAUAAUCUAGAGUCAAUUAAAGAAAUCCUAGAAUUCCUAAAUUUUCUAUUGCUUAGUGUUGAAUUUUUUUUUCUACAAAAAAAAAAAAAAAAAGGCUUAGAGUCCAUUUGGGAACAAUUUAUUUAAUUGAAAUUGAAAAUUUUUUGUUGAAAGUACAAUAGAUAAAAGUAAAAGUUAGUUAAAAUAAUACAGUGAGACUUAUGAAUAAUAUAAAAAAGAGUUGUAAGACCCAUGAGUAGUAGCAAAAAUAAAUUAAAUAGUAAAAUAAGAUAACUUCAAACUCUAAUCUUAAACACAAUCUUAGUGUUGAUUUCAAUAAACCUCACUAACAGUGGCGAAAUCAAGAAUUUUUCUAGGAGCUAACCUAAAUAUACCCAUAUUCUUUUUUAUUUUUUCCUUUUAUUUUUUUGAGAAAAAGGAGAAAAGAGACAUAACCAUAUUCUUAAAAAAAAUAAAAAAUAAAAAGGCAUUCUUAUACAAGUUAACUUUAACUCUUCAAAGGCCCAUAGUUCGGCUUUUUGGGCCCAAAAGGCACGAUUGCAAUUUUUGCGUUUGGUCACUUUUUCGUAUUGGACCAUCAAGCAAUACAAAAACACAGCAAAAAACAUUCUCUGGGGUCCUUAAAUUAACCGUACAUUUUUUUUCUAUAAAUCCGAUUUUGCCCUUCUUCCCUAAACACUAAAUCCAACACUUUCUUUUCUAGAAGCAAUAAGUUAGCUAGACUAGUUUGGUAACCUUCACUGAAAAGUUAAAUAUAAUAUAAUAUAAUAGAAAAACAUGCUAGUGCUACAAGCCACUAAUCUGUUAUUGUGAAUGAAAGUUGUGUCAUCUACAAGCUAAAUAAAGUAAUGAACACUUCUUUUAGAAAGAUACUUUAUCCAGAUAGAGAGAGAUAUCAGGGGCAAUAGAUAAACGGAAUACAGAGACGCAGAUACACCACUGGUUCGAAGGUAGUCGGUCACCGGUUGUUGAUUCACUUGAAUGGCGGUUGGAGUGGCGAAGACAACAAGAAACAAAGCCAAUUGUUGAGUUGUUGCAGCGUUGAGACUGCGACGGCGGCAACCAAUAUACAUUAGAGAUUUUUAUUUUUGCUAUUUGGAAGAGCUAAUGGGCCAAGGAAUAGACCACGUUUUUUGUGGGAUUAUCUUAACAAAUUUUAAGAUAUGGGGGAAACAUUCUAAAGUCUAAACACAUUACAUUUUUUUUUUACUACUAUCAAAUUCUAGGAGGGGCUAAUAAGUUAAUUUAAAGACAAUUUAGAUAUAAUUUUUCAAUUUUUUAUGGUAGUAAAUGAAAUUUUCGAAAAGCUAGCGGUGCCAUGGCCCCCCGGCCUGCCUCGACGCUACUCCAUCACUGUUUGCUAAAAGCCUUAUACCUUGUUUGACGUUAGUUGAGCUCUUGCCUAUGAAUCCUUUCCACAUUUGGGUCAUCUUGCUUAUGAGAGUUGGCCUGUUGGAUAUUUGGGUGAUAUGAUUAAGUCAACCAAAGCUUCCUAUUUUCAAGAGCUAAAAACAACUUUUGUUAUUGUGUUUUUACAAAUCUGGGUUGUGAUUUACGUGUUGACGAUGCUAUUAGUGGGUUUUAAAGUUGAUUUGGAAGUUUUUAACUCAGGAUUUUUGUUGAUCAGAUGCAAUGGCUUCGUUUCGUUGCUCGGAAGCGAUGAAUUUGGGUGGUUAUUUUUUUGAAUUUGAGUAGUUAGUUGAGUAUAUAUAAAAAUUCAAAUUGAUGUAAAUUUAGGGAAAUCUAAAUGUUCUUCCUAAUUUGAGAGAAAAGUAAUCUAAUUUUUUUCGAUAUUUUUUAAUAGUUUAUUUUUUAUUUUUUAUAAAUUUCAAAUUUUCAAAAAUGCAAAAAUUACAUCAUUUUGGGACAAUUAUCAGCAACCUAUAAUGGAAGUUGAUAGAAUAAGUAAAUUAAAUAAAAUUAAAAGUUAGAGAACUAAAUUGAAUGAAAUUCAAAUUAUAAGACUUAAUUAAUUUUUAUGCAAAAUUAGAAAAUGCAAUUUAUAAUUUAAUCUCUCUUUUUCUAGUCAAUUUUUCUGUAAAAAUAUUUGAGAAAUGAUUGUCCGGCAUCAAUUUUGAAUCUUUAAUAUAGAGGCAAAAUUCAAUUCUUUGCAACAACCAAAACACUAGUAGAUCACCCCUUGACCAAGAACUCCACUAAAAUGUUCAAACCUGAUAUGAGCCACCAGAAUUUACUGACACCCCUUACGCAGCCUAAAACCACCAAAUCACACGAUAGCCACCCCACUCAAAUGAGCGAUAUCAAAAAUAACCUAAAUAUGAAAUUCCCGAAAUAUAUAUUACAGCUAAUAAAUUUAUAUAUAUAUAUAUAUAUAUCAAAUCAAAAUUCUCACCACUGCAAGUCUGCAACCUUUAUGACCACGGGGACGAUUGAAAUUUGAUGUAUUUCAAGCCUUACAAAUUAACAUUUUUUCUCACGCAGGUGAGCUUUACUUCUCACAUACUGUGAGCUCUACUUUCCAUCUUUUUCUUCCUAUCACGAGGGAAGUACAAGAGUGUGUCCAUUAGGAGAGUGUGUCCAGACAGUAAGGAGGCAAACAUUAGACUCUACCAUGGAGGCUGAAGUGCUUGAACGUAUACAUCACAUGAAACUCACUACGGAGGAAGAUGAGGCUAUGUCAAUCCGAUCAGUGAAGAGAGACAAAAUUUUAGAGGAAUUCUCCCUAAGCCUCAUUGGGAGAUUUCUCACAUCGAAGCAAAUAAACUUACGGGUUGCAAAAAACUUGCUGCGGACUAUGUGGAAAUUGGGUGAGGAUAUGAAGAUAAUUGAAGUGGGUGAGGGGAUAUUAUAGUUCAAAUUCUUGAUGGAAAGGAAAUUGUUGUGGGUUUGGAAUAACGGACCUUGGUGUUUUGACAACCAUCUCUUGGCUUUGCGAAGAUGGGAAAAAGGGAUGUCCGCCAGCUUAGUCACCUUCUCAAAACUACCCUUUUGGAUUCAAGUUUGGGGUUUGUCGUUCGAUCUAAUUACUGAAAAGGCAGGAAGGGAUAUUGGUAGGAGUAUUGGUGAUUUGGUGGAGGUCGAUUGUAAAGCUUUCAACUUUGACCAGGCCAAGUUUCUGCGGAUAUGAGUAGAGGUCCUACUUGAUAAACCACUCCGGCGGGGAGGUCCUGUGAUUAGCUCAGAAGGAGAGACGUCACGUGUGGCAUUCAAGUAUGAACGUUUGGUGGGUUGGUGCUUCAGUUGUGGCUGGAUAGGCCAUGAUCACAAGGACUGCUUGUCACCUGUAGAAGCCGAGGAAGGAGCUCGUCCUUAUGGUGAAUGGCUUAAGGUGGGGAUAAGGGGGAGACCAAUGGAGGCAGAUGGAACUCAGCACCAUGCAGAUCGAAUCCAACGACCAACGAACCCCAUGGACCAAACCAAAAACCACCAUUCACCCUUUGUCGGAAAUCGUUACUCCUAG